CCCCUCUCAGGCUUGCACCUGAAGAGUUUCCAGUACUCUACUAGUCUCAGUUACGGGAGGGAGAGUCAAGCAGAGGCCUACCCAUUCCAUUCCUAGCUUGGGCAGUGGUUAGCGAGUGGAAGACGAUUUGCUACCAGU
rnacentral:snoRNA from 2 species